UACGUAGGUGGCAAGCGUUGUCCGGAUUUACUGGGCGUAAAGAGCGCGCAGGCGGUCGUUCAAGUCGCGUGUGAAAGCCCCCGGCUCAACUGGGGAGGGUCACGCGAUACUGAUCGACUCGAAGGCAGGAGAGGGUAGUGGAAUUCCCGGUGUAGCGGUGAAAUGCGCAGAUAUCGGGAAGAACACCCGUGGCGAAGGCGGUUCUCUGGGACGGUACUGACGCUGAGACGCGAAAGCGUGGGGAGCAAACAGG
rnacentral:rRNA from 1 species